GAUGAACGCUGGCGGCGUGCCUAAUACAUGCAAGUCGAGCGAACGGACGAGAAGCUUGCUUCUCUGAUGUUAGCGGCGGACGGGUGAGUAACACGUGGAUAACCUACCUAUAAGACUGGGAUAACUUCGGGAAACCGGAGCUAAUACCGGAUAAUAUUUUGAACCGCAUGGUUCAAAAGUGGAAGACGGUCUUGCUGUCACUUAUAGAUGGAUCCGCGCUGCAUUAGCUAGUUGGUAAGGUAACGGCUUACCAAGGCAACGAUGCAUAGCCGACCUGAGAGGGUGAUCUGCCACACUGGAACUGAGACACGGUCCAGACUCCUACGGGAGGCAGCAGUAGGGAAUCUUCCGCAAUGGGCGAAAGCCUGACGGAGCAACGCCGCGUGAGUGAUGAAGGUCUUCGGAUCGUAAAACUCUGUUAUUAGGGAAGAACAUAUGUGUAAGUAACUGUGCACAUCUUGACGGUACCUAAUCAGAAAGCCACGGCUAACUACGUG
rnacentral:rRNA from 1 species